CAAAGUUCAAAAUGGCGCCCGGAAGGCACAGGUGAACGCCAUUUCAGCGGUGAAUGCUUCAGAGGCGCGGCCCCUGGGGAAGAUGGGAAGAGCAUCCUCUUGGGCGCCAUGAGAAUUCGAUUGGGAAAGGGCUUUGCAAACGGUGAACUAACAUAAAAAUGGCAACCGUUACUCUUCUCAUAAAACCUGUCCCAAAGAAAAAGAGGACACAGAACGCUGACUGAGUGCCCUGCUGUGUGUGUGGUGUGGUGUGCGUUGCUUCCUGUGACCCUCCACAGCCCUGUGAGGCACUGGGGACUAAUUACUGAGGCCCAGGACACAGCAAGACCUUUGGGCCCGUUCUCACACCACAGUUCUGGCAGGCGAUACAUCAGUCCAAGAUCAUCUUCUCACAAUAUCAUGAGAUUUCAACCACAUCCCUCCUGAGUCUUCAUCUUCUCAAAAAGAGGCAGCUUGUGGUUAAACAACAACAUUGUAUGCUUGAUGAGAGAACAAAUAUAAAUUUGACUGCGUUCAUUUCUGUGGAGAACUAUGGGGUCUCUGCAGGUGGCACGGCUUAGAGUGUGAGGACCCGCGCCAGUUUUUUGUUACGGCUACUUGAAAAGAACCUAAAUGACAGCCAUCCAAACUCCCCAACACUGUUGAAUCUUCCCUGGGACUGGAAAUAAAUUGCUGCUUGGAAAACUGUCACUCUUUCCCUGAAUGAAUAAAUUAGGUUCAUUUGAAGAUAGAGAACUUAACCACCUCUCAGGGUCCUUAAAUGCUUGCACCGUCGACUUCAUCAUUUAGGAUGAGAUACACAAUUCCUGUUCUCCCUCUGAUGGACCGGAGGGUAAAGCACCCAUUUUUAUGUCCAUGCGCAGAUGGAUUUACUGCCUCCCUCCCUGUCCUAAUGUGGAAAGCUCUUCUAAGUGGUACGAGUUCAAGCUGGGCUCCCAGAGGCCCAGGGUCAAAGCAGGUUUGUCUUCAACCCAGGCAAGUACCAAAGCUCCAUCUGUUUUUCAUGAUACAUAUUUUUCCUUAUUUCCCAAAAGUAUACUCAAAAUGGUCACAGAAUGUACUUUGUGAGAUGAAACAUACUUUUGGAACAUCUAAUAGCUUUAAUAAACUAUGAUGAGUGAGUUGUAUGU